UUUUCAUAAAUAAAUAUUUUAACUGGAAAUUUCCAAGUGUAUGACAGGCCUAGAAUGUGAACUUGAAUGUACUGUAAUAGAAAUCAUCAGUUGCCAUGGCGACCCGUUCCAAGAGCAGAGCGCGCCGAGUCACGUGAUCGGAGGGCGCUCAGUAAUACUAACACAUCAGAGAGCGAGGCCACUUAACCCCAAUCGCUUCCAGCUAUUGUGCAGAAUGCAAUUGAAUUUAUUCCUAAUUUCUGCCAGUGCUAAGGAACAAAAUUUCCCUGCAGAUUUUAAUCUUACUCAGGCGGCGCUCAGACGCUGUUCAGCACCAAUAUUCAGCCCGGCUACUCGCCCACUUUACAGCUCCAUUUUCCUAUUCUUAUUUGCAAUAAUAGCUUCCCUCUGCCUGCUGGAUACCGCACAUCCCCCUGCCCUGGGGAGAACUGCCCUUCUCCUUCCCACGUGGCUGUGCGGUUUUCUCUGACUCUGGCUGCUAAUGCAAGGAACACAGCCUUCAUAAUAAUACCGAUAAAAAAAAAAAAAGACAGCUCUCUACUUUCAGCAAUAGUCGCUUCCCCCCACACCCCCUCUCCCCAAACCUGUUGUAAAAUACGAUUUCUGCCAGCUUUUGACUGUGCUUUGGAAUACCACAAUUAACAGCCCCAUCGUAAUGAGGCAAAGCCCCACGGGUCAGCGAAUAAUGGAAUCAAAGUGUGAGUUUUCGGUCUCCAUCACCGUCACCUCCCUCUGGCCCCCCCAACCAGGAGAGCAGCCCAGACGCCCAGGAGGUACAGCCGCCUAUCACAGAACACUCAUUUCGAGAGCUUAUCAGCUCCCAUGAAAGCUGAUAAAUCAGAGUGUCUCAUACGGACAGUCUCGAGUUAGCCGUGUCAUCGAUCCCUCCUCCCCUUUUAAGCUCUUUGUCUUAUUCACUUCCAGAGAUGCUAUCAGAGAUGCCAAAUGAGUCUUUGUUUUCUGUGCUCUUGUGCAGCCUAGGGAUAGUCUUCUAGAAGUGUCAGAACACAUCACAGGGAAAGACUGAGCCUCACAGUCUCAGAAAGAAGAAAGAUGGUGGCGGCCAUUUUCUGCCUGCACUGUGAGGCAGCUUCCUGACCACAGCUGAGGAGGAAGCAGGUGUCAUGGUGGCCUGGAGUCACUCCUGAGAGCUCGCUCAACUCAGUGCCCGUAUCUGUGGCUUUCUUGGCAAAUUUUAAUUGACCACACUCAAGAUAAGGAGAACUUAUUGAGCAUCCAUGCGUUCAGGAUUAGGUCAAGUGCCCUGGGGCAUACGGGAGCAAGAUCACUUCACGGUCAUGCAGACCAGAGACCAGUGAGCACAAUAGUCGAGGUACUCAAGGCUUCCUCUUUCUGAGAGAGCUCUUGUUGCAGAGCCCAGAUGAGCUUUGGAUUUUCACUCUUUCUGUCUCGGCUUCCCAGAAUUGCAGGGAAUAUACCACCAUGCCCAUCUCUAAAUACUCCAAUUUUCUAAAAAACGUACUUUAUGGAAAUGGAAGCAGGAUUGAAGACAGAAGCAAGACCUCUCCCCCUCCAGGAAGAAGACCAGAAGUUUCCACACUUGGGUAAACUAGUUGACCCUAGCGACUAGCUCCUCCACAUUAGUAGUCUCCAUCUGACAGGGCCUCAGCUGAGGCCCAUUAGUUGGGCCUGCUCUAUUCCAAAGAAGAUGCACCCUGUUAGGAAUCUCGUAUUUAAAUCGAGGGUCGUGCAGAGAUGCGAGGGGAACCCUCUAAAGCAAAAGAAAGAGACAAAAAUUGUAAGAAAAAACAAACAUGGAAGGAGCCCCCAAAAGCAACAAGGUCUGUAUCUUUAGGGGGAUCUGGGAAGGUAUUACAGGAGGUAAUAGUUAAGAGAAUAGAGAAGAGAUGUCGGAAUUUACAAAUAGGUUUGCCAAAGUGAGAAAUGUGGCGGGAGAACUAGAGGAGAACAUCAAGCUGAUCUCCCAGAAAUUACAGCAAAAAGUUAGGGAAACACAGAGGACAAGUCUGGAGUGGAAACUUCUGGUUUCUUUGGAAUGUCAGUUGUGUCAGACGAUGGGCACACAGGUGAAAGGAUAUCUUGCUAAAGCAGACUUGUGAAAGAAUGUUUUCCUGAAGCAGACACAGGUGAAAGGAGGUUCUGAUAUAGCAAACACGUGAAAGGACCUGUGAUGAAGGGGUAUAAAUAUGUCCCCACAGACACUGAGAGACGAGCACAGGUCAUUGGUUUGGUGUGCACAGUCUCGCUGCCUAACGAUUCUUCCCUAAGGACGCACAUGUAUCGGUUCACCCUGUAUAGCAUUGUUGAACUCAACUUGCGGUUAUUCCACCACUGAGAGAAACUCGCCAGGGAACUGCUCGUGAGGUUCCUUUCAGUUUGCCAUGGCCUCACCUCAGGAUGGUUCUCAAGCCUGGGAGUGUUUUCAGGACUGAACUCUAGCUGCUGGUUCAUGCCUGGUGUCUGCCUGCCUAGAGCCAUGGACUGCAGCUGCUGAGUGCAUUGGUGUUUGCUACGGGACUGAACUGCUGCCCAAGGAGAUCGAACUCACCCCCAAAGAACUAUUGCUAAACGGGUCCAUUUUCCCCACAUCCUGAUAACUUUUCUAUUACCUCUGUUGGGUGGUGGGCAGGAGGAGAGGUGGAUCCUUAUUAAAAGAAGCUGAAAAAGAUUUUAUGUCCACACAAAUCUGUUUAGCAGCUGUCAGUGCUCCCUGAGCUCACCUCACCUCACUCGGCGCCUAGUUUUGUAACACGUCUGAAGCUGAGAGCGCGUUUUGUAUGUUCGAAUAGUGCGUUGAAAAAGAACAUGGGACAUAGAGCAUAUGGGGUCCACAAGCCCAACAUGUUCACUGCAUGACUCUCUACAAAACCACUUGCUUAACCCGGAUGCAGAAGGGUCGGUGUCCAAACUAUAGGGAUUCUGGAAAGAAGUUAACUAGUAAGGGAAACAUUCAAGAAUAGCCCCCAAAUCUAAGGACAUGAACCUUAUACUGAAAACCUAUAAAAAGGCCUGGAACUCGGUUCUCAGAACCUAGGUGGGGCCACUCACAAACACCCAUCACUCUGC
rnacentral:sRNA from 1 species